AGUGGAUCUCAUAGAAGUACAGAGUGAAAUAUUAGGUUGGUACAAAAGUAAUUGCAGUUUUUGCCAUUUAAAAGUAAUGUUAAAAGUAAUAGUUACCAAUUGGCAAGAAUGUGUGUGUGUGGGUGGGUAGAGGAAUGGAUGGGCAUAAAUUGGUACAAACAUACAGUUAAGUAGAAGGAAUAAGUUCUAAUGUUUGAUAGCAGAGUAGGAUGUCUAUAGUUAGCAGCAGUGUAUUGUAUAUAUAUCAAAAUAACUAGAAGAGAGGGCUAGAAAUGUUCUCAACACAUAAAAAUGACAAAUACUCAAGGUGCUGGACACCCUAAAUACUCUGACUUGAUCAUCACACAUUCUAUGCAUGUAACAAAAUACCACAUGUACUGCAUAAAAGUGUACAAAUAGUAUAUAUUAAUUACAAAAAAAAAUCGUGUGGCUACCAAAACUCAUUAUUUCAGGUGCUAGCAAAUGUAGUCACAACCAAGACUAGGCUUGAACUCUUCCUUUCAGCUUCCUGACAGCCAAGUAACGGAGUGAAAGGUCAGAUAAUUUACUUAGACCUGAGACUGCCAUUAAUAUUGUCAACAAAUUGCUUUGAUCUACAGCUCAUUAGCUUUGGUUGGAAUUGCUAAGCAAAUAAGCCAAAGUGAAAUUUUGUUCUAUCCAAUGGCCUAUCUAGUACCUUAACCCCAGACAACCUUCUUACAUGGUGAUCACAACUAAGCUGGUGAAUGGGCAUAAAUCUUUUAUUGCUACCAGAAAAAAAAAAAAUCAAAGUGCAAGCUCUAUCAAAUGUAAGUGAAUGCCCAUGAUGUGUCUAGCAUCUAUACACUGUGUUCUAGAAGUAUGUUAAUUUGGCUUAAAGAAAAACUAUAAAUUCUUUGUCUUCAUUCAGAAAUCAGUAAUUCUCAAAAGGGAAGGUAGUUUAUAACCCCUAGGAAGAUCAGUGAUUCUCAAAAGGUGGUACGGUUUAUAACCUCUAGGGGUCACAUCCGAAUCUCCUGAGGAAAAUGCUGAACUAUGCAAUCCCUUCUCAACUUUCCCCUAGAGACAGAUUCUAACAACAUUGUCUCCUAUGAAAGAUUUCAUGAUUACUGUCAUGAAUCACUAUUAUUGAUGGGAGAAAAAGUUUAUAUCAGGUAUAUUGAGAUGCAAAAGGAAAAGAAUCACUGUUAUAAGCUGAAAUUGUUGAUGGAAGUGCACAGGAAACAAAACAGCAGCAAGAUAUUACACAAUUAGCUGACAUGUAUAGUGACAUUUUUGCCAGAUUACACACAAAAAAAUAUAACUGUAGUUUUUUCAUGAGCCAAAUUUCAAUAACAGCUAUUAAAUGGUAUUUAAAAUGCAUCAUUUAUAGAAAUGACCUUUUUCAGAAGAACUGGAAAAUUUUAACUCAUAUAUACUAGCUGAAGGAAAAAAAGGUUCUUGCUUAUAUUUCAAUAAGCCCUCUCUGCAUUGAGAAAAGAACAUUGUUGACUACCUUUUGUUUCUUGGCUUGAUACUAGUUCUCUAGCUUUCUUCUUUUUUUGUUUUCUUUUUUUUAAAUACACAAUUUUUACUAAUGCAAACCUCACAUUGACUCAGAUGAAAGAGGCAACAGAAUUUCUGGAUACCGUGUACCCUUUAGAUAAUGUACCUCAACAACGAUUCAGUUUCUUUUUCUAAUUUUGCAGAUCAUUUAACAAAGUGUACAGCUGAAAAUGGUUUGUUCACUUCUCUUUCCUCGUGAUAAUCACUUCUUUUAUGGACUGAAAGCACUUUGUGCUUUUUCCUCUGUAAUCCUAGUUGAUUAUACAGUAUCUUCAUUGUUGCUCGGUGUAUAAGUCUUCGAGGUUUCGGCUGCACUGUCCAAAUCAUGAUGAGCUUCAACCAUGGCCACUGACGAAACCUCAGGCAUUUCGGCUGGUAUUUUGAACAAAUUUAUUUACUGCCUUUAUUAUAAUGUUGUCGGACAGUUGUGCAUCUAGAUGAUCUGGUGGAGUUUACACUUCAGAGGCACUGGGAAUGCCAAAGAUUUAUUUGCCUCUCAUUCAUUAAGAAGAAAAAAGAAAGAAAAUGUAACUAAUUGAAGAGUCUGGAUGACAAUUAUCUGUUUGUCGCCAUGGGUUGGGCAGAUCCUGAAGAGAACCAACUUGAGUCUGACAGUCCUUCCAGAACACGGCACCCACCUCCACCAUAUAACACAGCCAAGUGAAACACUAAGGAGGCUCUGUAAGGCAUGACUCUGAAGAAGGCCACUAUCUUUUACUGCCGUGACACCAUUUCUCAGAACACAUCACAUGGCCCCUGAGUGGUCAGGAGUCCAGAGAAAAACAGUCAAGCCCUCCUUUAAUAGUAAAAUUUUUGUCUGACCCUCUCAAGUGGCUAUGUAGAUCUCUUGCAAAUUGAACCAGAAGGUCUUUGGUUCAAGUUCCUGACUUAGCAAUUUUGUAUGUUAUCUCACAUACCAUGAUCAGGUUCUUUGUGGAAGUUCUCUCUUUAAUUCUUCUUGAAAUAGGUUUGUUUUGUUUUGUUUUUUUAAUGCCUAUUUGAAAUCUGAGGAAACAAAAGCUCAGAAAGUGACUGGGUCCUUGACUUCCCAGCUCUUUACUACAGUCACUGGGGAACACAGUGACCCCAUCCCUAAUCGCUUCUUCAAGCGGUGCAAGUGACCCAGGAAUUCCCCGGCCAUUGCACAAUGAACUUUCCAUACCUUUAUUGGGAAUUCAGUUGUGGGGAGGAAAUCAAGGCUUUCAAAAACAUUAUCAGUAGACAAAAAUGAAGCCCCAUCUGCAUUUGAAUUUUCUAGUUUCUCAGUGUCAGGCAUUGAAUUGUCAUGGUUUGGCUCCCACUCGUUUUCUGCUUCAACGCUCAACAAGAAGACAUGGAAGUGCAGCAUCACCUAGAAUUCACUUGGUUGGAAAGAAAUGCAUUUCCUGUGAGUUGGAGAAGGUCCUUCCAUUCUUUGCAGGAUCUCACUCUGUCACCCAGGCUGGAG
rnacentral:lncRNA from 1 species